UUAAGUUCAGCGGGUAGUCCUACCUGAUUUGAGGUCAAAGAUUGAAAUAUUGUCCAGAGAGGACGAUUAGAAGCCAGACCACAACGUUCCAAAGACAACCAAGCGUAGAUAAUUAUCACACUAUGUAGCCUAAGUCACAAGUCCAAGCUAAUGCAUUCAAGGGGAGCAGACCGAAUCGAAACGGCCAGCAAGCCCCCAAA
rnacentral:misc_RNA from 1 species